GGGAGGGAGCACAGGCCUCCAGGAGACGGUGAUGGAGACAAGCAGCCCGCGGCCGCCGAGGCCCAGCCCCAACCCAGGGCUAAGCCUGGACGCGCGGCUGGGCGUGGAUACGCGCCUCUGGGCCAAGGUGCUGUUCACUGCGCUCUUCUCGCUUAUCUUUGCCCUGGGCACUGCAGGCAAUGCGCUGUCCGUGCACGUGGUGCUGAAGGCGCGGGCCGGCCGCACCGGGCGCCUGCGCUACCAUGUACUCAGCCUGGCGCUCGCGGCGCUGCUGCUGCUGCUGGUCAGCGUGCCGGUGGAGCUCUACAACUUCGUGUGGUCCCACUACCCCUGGGUCUUCGGCGACCUGGGCUGCCGCGCCUACUACUUCGUGCGCGAACUGUGCGCCUACGCCACAGUGCUGAGCGUUGCCAGCCUGAGCGCUGAGCGCUGCCUGGCCGUGUGCCAGCCGCUGCGCGCCCGCCGCCUGCUCACUCCGCGCCACACCCGCCGCCUGCUGUCCUUGGUCUGGGCCGCCUCUCUUGGCCUCUCCCUACCUAUGGCGGUGAUCAUGGGACAGAAACACGAGCUGGAGACCACCAGCGGGGAACCUGAGCCCGCCUCGCGCGUGUGCACAGUGCUAGUGAGCCGCGCCACUCUACAAGUGUUCAUCCAGGUAAGGGAGAGGCAGCUGGAGGGCAGGAACUGGGGAGCAGGCAUGUUCAGUUCUGAUCCUCUGACCACCAGAAAGUUGGCUCUCAUUGCCCUAUUUUACAAACGCCUAUGA